rnacentral:lncRNA from 1 species
GCAGGCUGAAGGGCAGGUAGUGGUAGGUAUCCUGGGGCUCCCGGGUGAAGAACCUGUCCUGGAAGAGCUCGUCUAUGAUGCUGGACGCGCGGCUGAAGUGGCCUGAGCCACUUCUGCAGACGCGUGCGUAGAACUUCAUGCAGGUCUGUUUCAGGCAGGGCUUACACUCUUCCCAGAGGGCCAUCAUGGUCUCAUUGCAC